UACAGAGACGGCGAGCGUUGUUCGGAUUCAUUGGGCGUAAAGGGUGCGCAGGCGGUCGGGCAAGUCGGAUGUGAAAUCUCACAGCCUAACUGUGAAACGUCAUUCGAAACUGCCCGGCUUGAGGGCUGGAGAGGAGACUGGAAUUGUCGGUGUAGCGGUGAAAUGCGUAGAGAUCGACAAGAACACCGGUGGCGAAGGCGGGUCUCUGGACAGUUCCUGACGCUCAGGCACGAAAGCCAGGGGAGCAAACGGG
rnacentral:rRNA from 1 species